rnacentral:tRNA from 1 species
GCCGUUGUAGCUCAGUCGGUAGAGCGCAUUCAUGGUAAGAAUGAGGUCUCGGGUUCGAUUCCCGACAAUGGCU